rnacentral:rRNA from 1 species
CACUCCUGCGGGAGGCAGCAGUGGGGAAUUUUGGACAAUGGGCGAAAGCCUGAUCCAGCAAUGCCGCGUGAGUGAAGAAGGCCUUCGGGUUGUAAAGCUCUUUUGUCAGGGAAGAAACGGUGAGAGCUAAUAUCUCUUGCUAAUGACGGUACCUGAAGAAUAAGCACCGGCUAACUACGUGCCAGCAGCCGCGGUAAUACGUAGGGUGCAAGCGUUAAUCGGAAUUACUGGGCGUAAAGCGUGCGCAGGCGGUUUUGUAAGUCUGAUGUGAAAUCCCCGGGCUCAACCUGGGAAUUGCAUUGGAGACUGCAAGGCUAGAAUCUGGCAGAGGGGGGUAGAAUUCCACGUGUAGCAGUGAAAUGCGUAGAUAUGUGGAGGAACACCGAUGGCGAAGGCAGCCCCCUGGGUCAAGAUUGACGCUCAUGCACGAAAGCGUGGGGAGCAAACAGGAUUAGAUACCCCUGUAGUCCCAUGA